rnacentral:rRNA from 1 species
UACGUAGGGACCAAGCGUUGUUCGGAUUUACUGGGCGUAAAGGGCGCGUAGGCGGCGUGACAAGUCACUUGUGAAAUCUCUGAGCUUAACUCAGAACGGCCAAGUGAAACUGUUGUGCUAGAGUGCGGAAGGGGCAAUCGGAAUUCUUGGUGUAGCGGUGAAAUGCGUAGAUAUCAAGAGGAACACCUGAGGUGAAGACGGGUUGCUGGGCCGACACUGACGCUGAUGCGCGAAAGCCAGGGGAGCAAACGGG